ACAGAGCUAGUAGCGACCCACCUUCUAUGAUGACAGUCACUUUGUCGCUUCAGGUAGUUAUAGGAAGUAGUUUAUUAUCAUCAUAAUUUAAUUGUCAAAAAAUUAAAGCUCAGAAUUCUUGUAGUGAUCGCUAAGUGCUGCAGAAUGUCGCUGAAUAGCCCAAACAUUAAUACUGUUAGUCGAAAUGCAGUGUCUAUAGCAUAGCAUCGUGAGUCCGCCAUAUAGCCAGGGGUAGUUUUAUUAAUAGUUGGUUUCAAGACCCCAGAAUGUUUGUUUGAGCUGGCACAUGGAACGAAAGUAAGAACAGUAAGAGGAAGGUUCUUAGGUAUAUAGAUUUCAAAGGAAUAAAAACAUCAAGUUAAACCCAAAGUAUUCAUGAAAGCCAAAGCCAAAAGCACGAUUAGAGUUAAAAAGAGAAGCAGCUUAGCUUUCUAUGUGCCAUAGAUGAUGCUUAGGGGCAGAUCCUGUAUGGAUUCAAUGGGGGUGGUCAGUUAGAGCGAAGUUGUGGUGUCAAAGUAGAAUAAUCUGCAUAAUGGCUAUACACAGUACACCCAACCAUUGUUCUAAAUAUUGUCGCAAAUCUUCCUUAAAUCGGCUUCAACCUUCAUCACAUGGGGCCGGAUUGCUGAUUUGUGUAGUGGUACUUGCAUAUAUAUAUUAGCUUAUUGACAUCAUAUUGGAGUUUUAUGAGUUUUGGCAACAACGUAUUAUGAGCAAAAGAAACAUCCAGUGGUGCUAUAUUUCUAUGUGCGCCUCGCGUGCCAGAAACUGACGGCUAUGAGAAGGUAACCAUCAGUUAUGAAAUACCGAACCCCUCUAAAUUGGUCCUAUCGGUUUUACUACUGAAUAGGCGAGUUUAGGUUGGAUAGCCGCUUCAUAGCUCAGUUGUCCCUUAGAAAAGCCAAAAAGCAUCCCAUAUGGACAUAGUCUAGCAACCAGAGUUGAUCCACUGACAGAUGCAUCUUGAUGAUAAACAAGAAUUUCAAUAGUUUUUCCUCCAUUUUAUUAUGGCUAUCCAUGAAUUUUAUACGAUUCUCAAGCAUAUUGAUCCCAAAAAGUCUAGCUCGAGUAGAGAUCAUCACAGCAGAUUCAUCAUGAGUAAAACCAAAACAUGGGAGCCAUUACAUCACUUUUUUACCUU
rnacentral:lncRNA from 1 species